GACGAACGCUGGCGGCGUGCUUAACACAUGCAAGUCGAACGGAAAGGCCCUGCUUUUGUGGGGUGCUCGAGUGGCGAACGGGUGAGUAACACGUGAGUAACCUGCCCUUUACUUUGGGAUAACUUCAGGAAACUGGGGCUAAUACCGGAUAUGAUCUCCUGCUGCAUGGUGUGGGUUGGAAAGUUUCGGCGGUUGGGGAUGGACUCGCGGCUUAUCAGCUUGUUGGUGGGGUAGUGGCUUACCAAGGCUUUGACGGGUAGCCGGCAUGAGAGGGUGACCGGCAAAAUGGGGACUGAGAUACGGCCCAGAAUGCAACGGGAGGCAGAAGGGGGGAAUAUUGCAAAAUGGGAGGAAGCCUGAUGCAGCAACGCCGCGUGCGGGAUGACGGCCUUCGGGUUGUAAACCGCUUUAGACUGUGACGAAGCGUGAGUGACGGUAAUGGGUAAAGAAGCACCGGCUAACUACGUG
rnacentral:rRNA from 1 species